GUGCUCACUUCAACAGUACGUAUACUAAAACUGGAAGGAUAUGGAGAAGAUUAGCAUGUCCCUACACAAAGAUGACACACAAACUCAUGAACUCUUCCAUAUUUUU